UUUGUUUCUAAUAAGGCUAUUUGUUUGUAUAUUCAGCUUGUUUUAAACUAUAUUUUGGGUUUCUUGGUAAAAUGCAAGGAAGAAGAAGGAAAACAACUUUUAUUAACAAUGUAUAUUUCACUCAAAUUGUCAGAAUUCCUUUUGAGUUUAUGUAUUACAAUUAUAUGAUUGAUUUUUUUCUUUCUUAGGUUUUAUAUAUUCGUAGUGGUCUAAUAAUAAUUGAGUCUUCACUAUACAACCAUCAGUUUCCCAAUCCCACACGAAUUUGAUUCCCUAAAUAGACUAAUAAAUAUUCUCAGAGCCAAAAAUAUAAUAUAAUAAAAUAAUAUAAAUACGUGUGUAGUGGAAAACAGCUGCAAAUUCCACGUAUUUGCCACGUAUAUUAAUUGAUCUUCUCAUUUUUAAUAUUUUACGUCCACGAAAUAUAUACAGGUAGAGGUUUUUAUGUUUUUUAUAAAAUUCUAACAAAAAAAUUGCAUUGGAUUCAUGGAUUGGGUUUAGGUUGCGCGUAAGCACACGCAGUGUCUGCGAAUGAAGAACGAGACGUGAUGAGAUUUGUGGUUUGGGCCACAUAGAGUGGAAUGUGGGCCCUGCUACUCUGAUGUUUUAGACAAUUUUGUCAUAAAUCUAUUUAUUACUUUAAAAAAGGCGGCUUCUAUUCAAGUGACUCUAAGGGCAACAUCCCGUCGGUUCUUUCCUCUUCAGCAUUUUAUUUGGACCGUUAUUAUUUUAUUAGUAAACACAAUUUGACUGACGUACAUUGGCCAAUUUUUAUUAUUUUAUGGCAAACUUUAUACAAAAACACUUUGCUGACCAAACUAAUAUGGUGUUUUGAUGGUUUGAAUAGUUUAGUUAUCAGCCGCUGUAAUGGGUUUGUUUGUUUUUGACAUUAACAUCACGUAUACCACGUUAAAACUAUCUCGUUAGGUUUUAGUUUACUCCCUCAAAAUCCCUUUUGACAACAUUAGAUAAGGGAGAAUAAAGAUUUAUUAACUAAAUAUUAAAAAAAGAAACAACGAUCUUAACUCGAUAACAUAGUUGUAGACUAUAGACGUAUAAACAAAUCAUAUCGUCAGUUAAUUAACGCUGUCUAUGUAUUGUUAUAAUCCUGCGUCAGCGUAAAACAUGAUUACGAAUUAAAUGUUGAUUAAAAUCUACGAAAUGUAUUAGUUGAAUUCAACCGAGACUAACUAGGAGAAUCUAAAAUACGGUCGAAAUCAUACAUUCAUACUGCAUGAUGCAAUCAAGUGAAGCAAAAAUCAACUAGGUGAACUUCCGACACGGAUCAUGAGUUACGGGCAUCCACAUGAACUACAACUCUUUUCAAUUAAAAGUAAAACGCAAUUAAUGUUAUACUAAUCUUUGUGAUAUCAAUACUAUUAAAACAUGAAGCCCUUUUUUGAGGUGCUCUCAUGUUUCAACAAUAUUUACAAGAUUCUGCCACUGAAUUAUUUUAAGCUAUGAUUUUAAUUAAAUUAUAUAUUUUUUGAAUUUCCUGUUACUUAAACACUCACAUCUUAUUUAAUUAAAACAUAAUUAAUGUUGCUUAUCUUCUUAUACUAUAAAGAAGAAGUCAAUUAUCUUCUUUUUUUGCCACCUAAGAAAAUAGUGAAAGGAGGUUGCGCCACGUGUCACGUACACUGAUCCGCAGCAUUUCAUUUAUUUGGUCGACAUAUGGGCUUCGAUGUGGGCCAACCACUUACGUUAUUUUUGAGACGAUGAGGUCCAAUUCACAAACACAAAAAGCCUAAUGUAAUCUCUUCUCCUUCUCCAAUGAUGGUUGUCUACUCGAAUACCUUCUCCGGCUUUGCCAUAACUGAAACAUAACGCUUUUCUACGCCACUGAAACAAUACUAUUAAGAUUCACCAUUAACUCUUUCAUUCAAGCUCUCAUGAUUUAGUUGCCUCUUACCUAACUUCGAUCGCUAAUCCCUAAUUUUUUCAACUAUAAAUAUGGAUUCAGAAAACUCAGAAUCUCACUGCUUCACCUAAUAUAACCCUUCUGCUUCUGUACGCAAACGCUCAGCAACAAUGGUUUCAGCCCAUAUAUAUGAUUUGAAGUCCGAUCGUGCCUUCGGCGUGAGCACGGAACGUUAAGAAAGUAGGGAAGCUGAUGGAACUUCACAUGCUUCUGCUUGAUGAUAAGAUCAGGCCCUGCAACAACAGACUCCAACAUUGAAGAGAUUCUCAAGAGGCUCUUGCUGCUAAAAAGACUCCUGAAUAGGAUAUGUGAUUGUUUUACACAGUUAUAUGCAAAGAACAUUACUCGAUCCUACUGAUAAACAAGAACUUGAAGCUCUGCAACAAGAGAUUUAAGCUACUUUCCUCACGGAUGAAAAUCUGAAAAAUUCCACUUACACCACAAGAUGAUAUGAGAGCUGGUAUGAGCUAAUCAAGAGGAGAAGAGAAUUGGCUUCUUCUUUAUAGUAUAAGAUAUCAAUCAAUUACAUAUGUACAUGUUGUAUCAUAACCAAAAUAAUAAUUAUCAACCAACCAAUAAAAAAUCAGCUGAUGUACUUUAAAAGUCACAUUGUUUUGUUAUUGAACAGUUUUUUAAAAAGAAAACUAAAACAUUCUAUAUAACAAAUAAUUUACAAUAUAAUAAAAAAAUAAAAAAAUAAAAAUUCAACACAUAUUUUAGUCAUUCCAUCUUUCAAAUAUCAAAUAAGUAACAUCUUCUUAUACUAUAAAGAAGAAUUUUAUUCUCUUCUUGAGAGACCACGUCAUUAAAUCAUGAAACUAGCAGGCGAUGCGUGUCCCAUACUUCUAAACUCAUCGGUUCAUUUAUUUGAGAAUCUAUUGAUGCAGGCUUUACUAUUUUUUGGGGUUUUAUGUUUGGCUAAAGGUCCCAACUGGCCAGCCCGAUAGGGACCAACCCUAAGAGUCUCACUCCGCAACGCCUCUGAAUCAUCGCUUCACCUUCUUGUUUCGUCCUUCAUAACCACCGAUGGUUUUCAUCUUCUCUGACUCAUAUCACUGUAUGUCAAAACUCUUAUUUACUACAAUAAUCGUAAACCAUACAACCGUUGGACUCCCCUACGGGUUUCACCUUUGUUUUACAUUUCAAUAUUUUGUAAUUAUAAAAGUCAACUAUAUAUCAUAAAAAAAAAAUUGAAAUAAAAA